CACUCUUGUUCUACUUGCUGAUUUCCGAGGAGCCUCACCAACAGAUGUCAUCUCUACAGUUUCAGCUGUUUCCCCUGCAGCCCCUCCUGCCAACCCCUCUACCGCCCAUAGUAGAGCCUUCAUCAGAAGACACAGGAUGGCUCUAGAGACUCGCCUGGGACUCUUACAGUCCUUAUUUCUGCGUCUCCAGGAUUGUGGGGUUCUGAAUGACGAGGAGAGGGAGGAGGUGGUCAGCAAAUCCACCAAGACCCUACAGAACCAAGCCCUGCUGGACAUGGUGGUAAGGGAGGGGGCUCAUACCCAUGAAUACUUCUACCAGGUCCUGAAGGAAGUAGAUCCCUGCCUGGUUGAAGACCUGGAAGAGCAGACAGUCUGAGGCAGGUGGCCAUGGAUACAACCUCAGUAGAUAUCAAAACUUUUAUCAGAUACAGAGAGCAGUACUUUGAGGAGGAGCCAUCCUGACCAGAGGUGGUUGGUGUGUAAUGUGAUUGGACACCAUUCUCACCAGCACUCCCAUCAGUCUGUAGUUUACUUUACAAGCCCCAGAUCUGAGGCAAGGUGACAUCACUGAGGCUACUGUCUACCAGACAACCUACCUGUGUUACUCUGGUACACUGGUUACAGACUACAAGAUCAGGGCUAUUGUCUACCAGACAUCCUACCUGUGUUACUCUGGUACACUGGCUGCAGACUACAAUAUCAGGGCUACUGUCUACCAGACAGCCUACCUGUGUUACUCUGGUACACUGGCUGCAGACUACAAGAUCAGGGCUACUGUCUACCAGACAACCAACCUGUGUUACUCUGGUACACUGGCUGCAGACUACGAGAUUAUUGAAUUUCUAUCUGGAACAUGGUGAAUGUUGAAUCAUCUUGGACAGGUC
rnacentral:lncRNA from 1 species